rnacentral:lncRNA from 1 species
AUGCCAUUCCCAAAGUAUACUCCAUCGCGCCUGGCCACUCCACCCUCGACCCUCUACCCAGCGGAAUACGACAUAUCCCUGGAAACCCAGCAGGCGCAAGCCGAGCGGUUGGCCAUAAGAGCACAGCUGAAACAGCAGUACUUGCUUCAGUACAACGACCCUAACUGCUGACGGCUCAUUGAAGAUCCUGCCUUGAUUUGUUGGACCUAUGCAAGAUCAGCAAAUGUCUAUCCUAAUUUCACCCCUAAAAACUCACUCUUGGGAGCUUUGUGUGGAAUUAGGCACCUGUUCUUCUGGUAUGAUGUAUUCAAAACUGACAGGAAUAGGAAAGAAAAACUUAUCCAGGAAGGAAAAUUGGAUCAAACAUUUAACAUCUCAUAU